GAUGAACGCUGGCGGCGUGCCUAAUACAUGCAAGUCGAGCGAACAGACGAGGAGCUUGCUCCUUUGACGUUAGCGGCGGACGGGUGAGUAACACGUGGGUAACCUACCUAUAAGACUGGGAUAACUUCGGGAAACCGGAGCUAAUACCGGAUAAUAUUUCGAACCGCAUGGUUCGAUAGUGAAAGAUGGCUUUGCUAUCACUUAUAGAUGGACCUGCGCCGUAUUAGCUAGUUGGUAAGGUAACGGCUUACCAAGGCAACGAUACGUAGCCGACCUGAGAGGGUGAUCGGCCACACUGGAACUGAGACACGGUCCAGACUCCUACGGGAGGCAGCAGUAGGGAAUCUUCCGCAAUGGGCGAAAGCCUGACGGAGCAACGCCGCGUGAGUGAUGAAGGUCUUCGGAUCGUAAAACUCUGUUAUUAGGGAGGAACAAACGUGUAAGUAACUGUGCACGUCUUGACGGUACCUAAUCAGAAAGCCACGGCUAACUACGUG
rnacentral:rRNA from 1 species